GUGCCAGCAGCCGCGGUAAGACGAACCGUGCGAACGUUGUUCGGAUUCACUGGGCUUAAAGGGCGCGUAGGCGGGUGAUCAAGUCCGGGGUGAAAUCCUCCAGCUUAACUGGAGAAUAGCCCUGGAUACUGGUUGUCUUGAGGGAGGUAGGGGCGGGUGGAACUUCCGGUGGAGCGGUGAAAUGCGUAGAUAUCGGAAGGAACGCCGGUGGCGAAAGCGACCCGCUGGACCUCUUCUGACGCUGAGGCGCGAAAGCCAGGGGAGCAAACGGGAUUAGAUACCCGUGUAGUCC
rnacentral:rRNA from 1 species